GUGCUUACCUGGCGGGGGAGAUACCAUGAUCAGCAAGGUGGUCCACCCACUCGAGGUCCAGCCAUUGCACUCCAGCUAGCUGACACCUGCCAAUUCCUCAAAUGUGGGAAUCUCAACUGCAUAAUUUCUGAUAGAGGCAGUGUUGGCGCAACG
ensembl:snRNA U1 U1 spliceosomal RNA